AGGACGAACGCUGGCGGCGUGCUUAACACAUGCAAGUCGAGCGGUAAGGCCUUUCGGGGUACACGAGCGGCGAACGGGUGAGUAACACGUGGGUGAUCUGCCCUGCACUUCGGGAUAAGCCUGGGAAACUGGGUCUAACACCGGAUAUGACCUCCUAUCGCAUGGUGGGUGGUGGAAAGAUUUAUCGGUGCAGGAUGGGCCCGCGGCCUAUCAGCUUGUUGGGUGGGUAAUGGCCUACCAAGGCGACGACGGGUAGCCGACCUGAGAGGUGACCGGCCACACUGGACUGAGACACGGCCCAGACUCCUACGGGAGGACAGCCAAGGUGGGGAAUAUUAGGGACAAGUGGGGCGAAGGCUGAUCCAGACUAACGCCGCGUGGAGGGAGUCGACGGCCUUCGGGUUA
rnacentral:rRNA from 1 species